CAAAACAUAGUUUAACAAAAUACUAGCAUUGGAAGCUAGAGAUCGACUGAUUAGGUCGUGUUUUGA
rnacentral:tRNA from 1 species